rnacentral:rRNA from 1 species
GACGAACGCUGGCGGCGUGCCUAAUACAUGCAAGUCGAACGAACCGCGACUAAGUGCUUGCACUAAGUCAAGGUGAGUGGCGAACGGGUGAGUAACACGUGGGUAACCUACCUCAUAGUGGGGGAUAACAGUCGGAAACGACUGCUAAUACCGCAUAGGACAUAGGAUCACAUGAUCCAGUGAGGAAAGGUGGCGCAAGCUAUCGCUAAGAGAUGGACCCGCGGUGCAUUAGCUAGUUGGUAGGGUAAAGGCCUACCAAGGCGAUGAUGCAUAGCCGGCCUGGAAGGGGGAUCGGCCACAUUGGGACUGAGACACGGCCCAAACUCCUACGGGAGGCAGCAGUAGGGAAUCUUCCGCAAUGGACGCAAGACUGACGGAGCAACGCCGCGUGAGUGAAGAAGGUCUUCGGAUCGUAAAGCUCUGUUGUUAGAGAAGAACAGCGCAUAGAGUAACUGCUAUGCGUGUGACGGUAUCUAACCAGAAAGCCACGGCUAACUACGUG